AAAACGCAGCGAAAUGCGAUACGUGGUGCGAAUUGCAGAAUCCCGUGAACCAUCGAGUUUUUGAACGCAAGUUGCGCCUGAGGCCAGCUGGCCGAGGGCACGUCCGCCUGGGCGUCAAGC
rnacentral:rRNA from 1 species